AGAAAGAAGUGUAUAUAAAGCAACCAAAAGGUCUUGUUUUGCCUUGUAAUAAAUAUGAAGUGUAUAUGUUUAUUUGAAUGAGCUAAAGAAAGCACUUAGUCAGUAACAUCAAAUGUUUGAUGAGAUUAUCUUAUCAAGUGGUUUGAGUUAAACCAUUAGGAUAAGUGUUUAUAUAACUAAUUGAUGAAUCCAGUAAUAGAACAAUCAUAUAUUUAUAUGUUGAUGACAUAUUGAUCUCUAGCACUAGCCAUAGACAAAUAAAGCUUACAAAAGCAUUAUUGUCAUC
rnacentral:lncRNA from 1 species